UAGACAUAGGAGCAUUUCUCAGAAGGU
rnacentral:piRNA from 1 species